rnacentral:rRNA from 1 species
GUGCCAGCAGCCGCGGUAAUACGUAGGUGGCGAGCGUUGUCCGGAUUUACUGGGCGUAAAGAGCGCGCAGGCGGCUGGUCAAGUCCGAUGUGAAAGCUCCCGGCUUAACUGGGAAAUUGCAUCGGAAACUGAUCGGCUGGAAGGUGGGAGAGGGUAGCGGAAUUCCCGGUGUAGUGGUGAAAUGCGUAGAUAUCGGGAGGAACACCAGUGGCGAAAGCGGCUACCUGGCCCAUUCUUGACGCUGAGGCGCGAAAGCUAGGGGAGCAAACGGGAUUAGAAACCCCCGUAGUCC